rnacentral:rRNA from 1 species
UACGGAGGAUCCAAGCGUUGUCCGGAUUUAUUGGGUUUAAAGGGUGCGUAGGCGGAUAAUUAAGUCAGUGGUGAAAUCUUGCGGCUCAACCGUAAAAUUGCCAUUGAAACUGAUUAUCUUGAGUACAGUUGAGGUGGGCGGAAUGUAUCAUGGUAGCGGUGAAAUGCUUAGAUAUGAUACAGAACACCUAUUGCGAAAAGCAGCUCACUAAACUGCAACUGACGCUGAGGCACGAAAGCGUGGGGAUCAAACAGG